GUGCAUUAAAACAUAUCGCGUGUGAAAACUGUUAGCGGAUGCUACUUAUGUGACGGGAGCUAAAUGUGUAUUCUGUGCUAUUUACAGUUCUUGGUCUUGGCUCACUGAUGGUGCAGUGGUACACACGUGGGGUCGAUUCCCGCUCAGCGAUGCUGUCGAUAUCUGACCGACGACCAGUUCAGUGUAUUGUAGUCCGCCUUACGCCUGAAGCUAGCUGGGAUAGGCUGCAGCUUUCCCGCAACCAUUGUGAGGAUAAGCGGCUUGGAUUAUGACACGGCGGUUCUCGGUUAAGAUUCGAGCAACACACACACACACACACACACGCACGUUGCAGACGAGGGUCUUCCUUGCGGUCUCGUAGCUUCUCACAGGAGCCAUUGUGUCCCCGCAGUCGGACCACCGGAGCGCUUGACGAGCAGCCAAGCCGGACCACUGCGCUAAUUGGCCCGCUGUGAGCUCCCACACUGGAUCUCACACACACACACACAGAUAAAGGGAGCUUGAAUUGAAUGCAA